rnacentral:rRNA from 1 species
UUAUAUCAAUAUAAAAGUAAUUAUGCUAGAACUAGUAACAAGAAAUUGAUUUUCUCCUAAAUGUAUGUAUAAACCAUAUGGACAAACCAAUGGUAUUUAACGCCCCUGUAACUAAUAUAACAACACUUCUCAAGAAAACCCUAUAAUCAUGCACGUUAACCUUACACUAGAACAUUUCAGGAAAGAUUAAAAAAGAGAGAAGGAACUCGGCAAACCUUAGCCCCGCCUGUUUACCAAAAACAUCGCCUCUUGACACAGUAUAAGAGGCCCAGCCUGCCCGGUGACAUAGUUUAACGGCCACGGUACCCUGACCGUGCAAAGGUAGCAUAAUCACUUGUUCUUUAAAUAAGGACCUGUAUCAAUGGCAUCACGAGGGCUGCACUGUCUCCUCUCUUCAAUCAGUGAAACUGAUCCCCCCGUGAAGAAGCGUGGAUUAAAUUAUAAGACGAGAAGACCCCAUGGAGCUUUAAACAAUGUGUUCACACCAUAUUAAUAUACCCACUCACUAGAAGCCCUGAACACAAGUUUUAGGUUGGGGAGACCGCGGAGCACAAACUAACCUCCGCGACAAAUGGCUUAUGCCUUAUCCGAGAGCCACAGCUCCAAAAAUCAAUAUAUUGAUGUCUAUGAUCCGAUAUUCGAUUAACGAAUCAAGUUACCCUGGGGAUAACAGCGCAAUCUACUUUGAGAGUCCUUAUCGACAAGUAGGCUU